GCCAAUGGAUUUUAAAACCAUCAAAGAGAGAUUAGAAUUMUUAGAGUACAGUGAUGCUGAACUGUUCGUUCGAGACAUGAGGCUUGUYUUUGAGAAUUGUGACAAGUACAACCACAUUUCAACGCAGGAAGGACAAGCCGGUGAUAGACUCAGCAAGGAGUUUGAAAACCUUUUGAAAGAGCACUUCCCUCGAUUUGCCGCUAAAAGCAAGAAACGCUCUACAAGGCGUAGAUAAAAGGAACAUAACAUCUUUUACAGCACAUGAUUUCUUUUGAUUCAUGUGAUUGACCUGGAAAACCUGGAAAAGCUUAAGGCAGCAGGGCUUGUGUGGGUCAACCUCGUCUUGAAAACAGCGACAAUCAAAAAUCGCGUUUCUUGGAGACUUACUGCAAGGAAAACGUAUCCAAAAUGUCAAGAAAAGUGAAUUUGUCAACAAAAAAUCAAAAAAUCGCGUUUCUUGGAGACUUACUGCAAGGAAAACGUAUCCAAAAUGUCAAGAAAAGUGAAUUUGUCAACAAAAAAUGACUUGUUAAGCUUUUCUCACAAGUUAUCAUAUUAAUAUUACAAAAUAAGGGAACUAAAACAUGAUGUUGAUUCAUUGUAAAUAAGGUUUUAUCUGUAUAACAAUCAAGAAUCGUUUAUUGUAAUGAAACGUUUUGUGGUUUGAUAAUUCACGUUCAGGGGUGUAA